rnacentral:rRNA from 1 species
UGGGGAAUUUUGGACAAUGGGCGAAAGCCUGAUCCAGCAAUGCCGCGUGUGUGAAGAAGGCCUUCGGGUUGUAAAGCACUUUUGUCCGGAAAGAAAUCCUUGGCUCUAAUACAGUCGGGGGAUGACGGUACCGGAAGAAUAAGCACCGGCUAACUACGUGCCAGCAGCCGCGGUAAUACGUAGGGUGCAAGCGUUAGUCGGAAUUACUGGGCGUAAAGCGUGCGCAGGCGGUUUGCUAAGACCGAUGUGAAAUCCCCGGGCUCAACCUGGGAACUGCAUUGGUGACUGGCAGGCUAGAGUAUGGCAGAGGGGGGUAGAAUUCCACGUGUAGCAGUGAAAUGCGUAGAGAUGUGGAGGAAUACCGAUGGCGAAGGCAGCCCCCUGGGCCAAUACUGACGCUCAUGCACGAAAGCGUGGGGAGCAAACAGGAUUAGAUACCCUGGUAGUCCACGCCCUAAACGAUGUCAACUAGUUGUUGGGGAUUCAUUUCCUUAGUAACGUAGCUAACGCGUGAAGUUGACCGCCUGGGGAGUACGGUCGCAAGAUUAAAACUCAAAGGAAUUGACGGGGUCAUAGCUGUUUCCU